rnacentral:lncRNA from 1 species
GCCAGGACCGCGGAGCCGGGAGCUCGGAGCCCGAAGCCCGGAGUGGGCUGGGGGCCGCGGUCCUCUAGGCGCGGGCCCUCUGGAGCCGGAGCCUGGCCCGAGUUGGAGUGGCACAGCGGUGGCGCUGGGUGAGUGGCGGGGCGGCAGGGGCGCAGGAACUCCCGGCUCCCAUCGAACUCUGCGCCUGGGAAGCGAGGGGUUGGAGCGAGAAGGGGUCCCAGAGGGCACAGGCAAAGUCUGAAGAGCGAAGCGACAGAGAAACUCGGAUCAGCGGACCGACAGGCGUGCGCGCACGUACCCAAGCGCGCACUUGGGGCACAGACACGUGCACUCGGAAGGGACGCGCCCGUUGCAGGUGAAGCCUGAAGCGUCCAGAGGCACCACACACGUGAUUGCUCUGCAGACCCCACCAGGGCAGGGGAUCAGGCUGAGCAAGCUUGCGGGGUCCUCUCUCGGCCUGGAAUGGUGAUAGCCUUCUCCCCAGAAAGGAAGAACCACGUCCCUUGGAGCCGGAUGGCACGGGGGACCAGGAUACUUGGGCUGGGGUGGCGCUCCCUGAGCUCCUCGCUUUCCUGCUUCCGCGCACGUUCCUGGAGUCUGCAUCCCUGAAGCAUUGGGGAGGGGGGCUCUCGGCGGCAGUGGACAAUUGCCCCGUCAUACUACUCUUAUCUCAGGGUAAGCCCGUGCAAGAGCUGCUGCCCCCCUCCAGAAUGCCUGAAAGUACAAACCCCCCAAUAUCCGAAGGGGCUGAACCCUGUUCAGGUAGUAGGACGAGCCCCUCCCCCAGGGAACGAGGGAGGGGCUGCAGCCAAGGCCUCCCGCCCCGCCCCGCCCCCACGCCUGCACACUGGAGCCCAGCUGCUGCCUGCGCUUCUGGGCCGGCUGCCAGAGAGGGGAGGUGGCCCUUGGUGCCCUGGAGCAGGGAUCAGGGCCAGGCCCAAGGAAGGGUCUCUCCUGGAGAGGGGGACAGUCGGCUUUGGGGCGGCUGAGGAUCUGGAGUGCGCCUAAGGGUGGCUGGGCUGUGUUUUCACUUUCCAGGGAAAAAGAAAGAAAAACAACCCUUUCCAUAGAGCUAAAAAUAGAGCACAGAGCCGGCCAGGCGGUGGCUUGGGGGGACGCGCCUUCUUGGGGCUGAGCC